rnacentral:rRNA from 1 species
UACAGAGGUCUCAAGCGUUGUUCGGAUUCAUUGGGCGUAAAGAGCUCGUAGGCGGUUCGGUAAGUCGGGUGUGAAAACUUUGGGCUCAACCCAAAGCGUGCACUCGAUACUGCUGUGACUAGAGUUCGGUAGGGGAGUGGGGAAUUCCUAGUGUAGCGGUGAAAUGCGCAGAUAUUAGGAGGAACACCGGUGGCGAAGGCGCCACUCUGGGCCGAAACUGACGCUGAGGAGCGAAAGCGUGGGUAGCAAACAGG